AGGGGUGUAGCUCAAUUGGUAGAGCACUGGUCUCCAAAACCAGCGGUUGCAGGUUCAAGUCCUGUCGCCCCUGCCA
rnacentral:tRNA from 1 species